rnacentral:rRNA from 1 species
UACAGAGGGGGCAAGCGUUAUUCGGAAUUAUUGGGCGUAAAGGGCGCGUAGGCGGCUUGGCAAGUGGAAGGUGAAAUCCCUCGGCUUAACCGAGGAACUGCCCUCCAAACUGCUUGGCUUGAGACCGGGAGAGGUGAGUGGAAUUCCCAGUGUAGCGGUGAAAUGCGUAGAUAUUGGGAGGAACACCAGUGGCGAAGGCGGCUCACUGGACCGGAACUGACGCUGAUGCGCGAAAGCGUGGGGAGCAAACGGG